rnacentral:lncRNA from 1 species
AUGGCGUGGAGGAGCCGCGGGCAGGCCCUGGAGGCAGAGCGGGCCCGGCUGCUGGGGGAGAAGUCGGUGCUGCUGGCAGCACUGGGGGUGGCCCCAGGCCAGGAGGCCUGCACACCCCAGGUCCAGGAGGUACCAGUGACCCUCAGGAGGGAGCUGGAAGCAGGAGACUCACACCCCCGGCUGCAUGCAGAGGCCGCUGAGUACUGGAAGGCACGCCGGCACCAGGUGGCCGUUGCCCUGAAAUUUAAAGAGGAGGAACUGCAGAGGCUCCAGAGGCAGGGUGGGGUCUGGCCUCCCCAGGCCCCCCAGAGGCCAGCCCAGGACUCAGCUGGGCCAAGGGCUUCUGUGAGCAGGAAGAUGGGGCAGCAGCUGGAGAGGGGCCCGCCGAAGCCGCAGCUCCGUGGACAGCCGCCCGCGGGGGCACACAGCCCUGCGGAGACCCCAGGCCGGCGCCCAGAGUCUGUGAGUGGAAGGUGGGCUCCAUCCCCACCCACCCCCCUGCCAACACCCCUGGGGAGGUCUGAGUCAGGCUUGGCUUCUCUCUGGGCACCAGGCUGGCUUCCGCCCUGAGUGGGCAUUGGCCAAGCCUCCUAGCCUGUGGGCGAGGCCGCUGUGAAAUGCCCCCUGGGCCAUCAGCCUUCCCCAGAGCACGGGUUCUGCUCCCAGCUCUGCCGCGGACUGGCCAAGCCCCUCACCGCCUCUGGGGCUCAGGCUCCCACCUGUCCACGGGGAUUGUGUUAGAUGGACUCAGGAGUUCUGACACUCAGUGACCCCAUGACCCUGUUCAGCUUGUUGGGUCACCGCCACUGGGCCAUCGUCUCUCCAGCCCCGGGUAGGUGGGGAAUUGUAGAGAACUGAGCCGGCGUCCCAGCUGAGUGGCUCACCCGCCUUGGGAAGCUAAAGUACUCAGAGCCGGGGUCAGGGGUGGGCUGGGGAGGAGGGGGCAGAGUCCCGCUCUCCCCGCCUUGCCCCCACAGCCUCUCGUUCUCCCAGCCCCCAAGAGCUGCCAGAGUGGAGGCCUGCAGGGGAGCCGGAGUCUCCAGGGCCAGCUCUGCCAGCGGCUGAGGGGAGAGCUCAGGGACAGGCUGGGGUGCAGCUGCCACGGCCACCACCAGAGGUGAGAGAUGGCCUUGGAGAGCGGUGGCCCUCCCUGAGAUCAAGCUGGGGCCUGCGGCUGGAGGGGGAGCUGGCAGGCAGAGGAUGCAGCUCUGGUGUCCCUCUGCCAUGUGGAUCUGCCCUCUGAGGCCACAU